GAUGAACGCUGGCGGCGUGCCUAAUACAUGCAAGUCGAGCGAACAGAUGAGGAGCUUGCUCCUCUGACGUUAGCGGCGGACGGGUGAGUAACACGUGGAUAACCUACCUAUAAGACUGGGAUAACUUCGGGAAACCGGAGCUAAUACCGGAUAAUAUAUUGAACCGCAUGGUUCAAUAGUGAAAGACGGUUUUGCUGUCACUUAUAGAUGGAUCCGCGCCGCAUUAGCUAGUUGGUAAGGUAACGGCUUACCAAGGCAACGAUGCGUAGCCGACCUGAGAGGGUGAUCGGCCACACUGGAACUGAGACACGGUCCAGACUCCGACGGGAGGCAGCAGUAGGGAAUCUUCCGCAAUGGGCGAAAGCCUGACGGAGCAACGCCGCGUGAGUGAUGAAGGUCUUCGGAUCGUAAAACGCUGUUAUUAGGGAAGAACAAAUGUGUAAGUAACGAUGCACGUCUUGACGGUACCGAAUCAGAAAGCCACGGCUAACUACGU
rnacentral:rRNA from 1 species